CACUCCUGCGGGAGGCAGCAUUGGGGAAUAUUGGACAAUGGGCGCAAGCCUGAUCCAGCCAUGCCGCGUGAGUGAUGAAGGCCCUAGGGUUGUAAAGCUCUUUCACCGGUGAAGAUAAUGACGGUAACCGGAGAAGAAGCCCCGACUAACAUCGUGCCAGCAGCCGCGGUAAUACGAAGGGGGCUAGCGUUGUUCGGAUUUACUGGGCGUAAAGCGCACGUAGGCGGACUAUUAAGUCAGGGGUGAAAUCCCGGGGCUCAACCCCGGAACUGCCUUUGAUACUGGUAGUCUUGAGUUCGAGAGAGGUGAGUGGAAUUCCGAGUGUAGAGGUGAAAUUCGUAGAUAUUCGGAGGAACACCAGUGGCGAAGGCGGCUCACUGGUUCGAUACUGACGCUGAGGUGCGAAAGCGUGGGGAGCAAACAGGAUUAGAAACCCGUGUAGUCCCAUGAU
rnacentral:rRNA from 1 species